UACCUGAGACUAUUAAUCUGGUUCCAGCUCCAUGAACAGUAAAUGUUUCAUAUUUGUUAGUUCCAACACAGACCCGGAGUAUCACCAAGCAGUAAUACAAUGUAUUAUUGUCUGUUUCUCGCACAUUCUGUACGUAAAGAUCCGCCUGCCCUCUCAGGUCUGUCCUUCCUUUGUAAGUAGGACUGAUCAGCCUAUGUGAGGGAUCAUACACAUAAUCACCAGUAGGGCUGCCCAAUCUCCAGUAGAUCCCAAUCCAUAGAGGGGCUAUUUCUUCAGAGUAAUUAUAUGAGCAGUUAAUAGUCACUGAGCCUCGUAGUGUGGCCGAAGAGUCCUGUGGUUGUUGAACAGUUAGCUCUGUAUUUGAUAGCGAUUCUGAAAUG